UGAAAACCGUAUGAGGCAAAAAGGCCAAGUCUAGCUAAAAAGCUUAUUCAUAUAUUAAAAUAACAAGUUCAUUAAGCAAGAAUGUUGCUUCCACACAAACGCAGUUGAAAGCCGAAACAAUCCCCUUUACCCCAAAAGAAUUUGAUGAACUAAAUGAAAAUUUAAAUCUGCCGAUGUAAUUUCAGCUGAAUCCAAAAAAGGAAAAACACGCACAAAGAGUGCGGA
rnacentral:misc_RNA from 1 species